rnacentral:rRNA from 1 species
CAGUCGCCACGGUAAUACAGAGGGUGCAAGCGUUAAUCGGAAUUACUGGGCGUAAAGCGUGCGUAGGCGGCUUCUUAAGUCGGAUGUGAAAUCCCUGAGCUUAACUUAGGAAUUGCAUUCGAUACUGGGAAGCUAGAGUAUGGGAGAGGAUGGUAGAAUUCCAGGUGUAGCGGUGAAAUGCGUAGAGAUCUGGAGGAAUACCGAUGGCGAAGGCAGCCAUCUGGCCUAAUACUGACGCUGAGGUACGAAAGCAUGGGGAGCAAACAGGAUUAGAUACCCCAGUAGUCCCUGUCUCUUAUAC